ACACACACACAUAACACCCUGCAGCCCAAGACCAGUUACUUACUAAAGCUAAGCAGGGCUAAGCCUGGUCAAUACCUGGAUGGGUGACCACAUGGUAAAACUAGGUUGCUGUUGGAA
rnacentral:rRNA from 1 species